CCUACGGGCGGCUGCAGUGGGGAAUAUUGCACAAUGGGCGCAAGCCUGAUGCAGCCAUGCCGCGUGUGUGAAGAAGGCCUUCAGGUUGUAAAGCACUUUCAGCGGGGAGGAAGGCGUUAAGGUUAAUAACCUUGUCGAUUGACGUUACCCGCAGAAGAAGCACCGGCUAACUCCGUGCCAGCAGCCGCGGUAAUACGGAGGGUGCAAGCGUUAAUCGGAAUUACUGGGCGUAAAGCGCACGCAGGCGGUCUGUCAAGUCGGAUGUGAAAUCCCCGGGCUCAACCUGGGAACUGCAUUCGAAACUGGCAGGCUAGAGUCUUGUAGAGGGGGGUAGAAUUCCAGGUGUAGCGGUGAAAUGCGUAGAGAUCUGGAGGAAUACCGGUGGCGAAGGCGGCCCCCUGGACAAAGACUGACGCUCAGGUGCGAAAGCGUGGGGAGCAAACGGGAUUAGAUACCCCAGUAGUC
rnacentral:rRNA from 1 species